rnacentral:lncRNA from 1 species
CUUUUGUUCUAGUGGAAACAUGUUUUCCUCCUGAGCACUCUUUUGGGGUAAGCAAUCGGACGGGGUGGAAGUUGGUGCCUAGCGGGGUCAGCAAGUUUUUCCUUCCAGAGAGGCUGUGAACUGCGGCAGCCGGUGGCCCUGCGCCCAGCUCCAUAUAUGGAAGGUCUUCGGAAAGAUGAUCUUCAUUGGACAGAUGAGAAAACCAAGGCCCGAAGAGGGAAGAUUCUUGCUCAGGGUCAUGCAGCAAGUUCAAGGACGUAUUACUCAGAAGAUCUGCUCCUCCUGUUCACUCAGGAACUGGCUGGGAGAGGCUCCAUUUCAACAUGGCUUACACAUCACAGGAGAAAUUCUUUCUAGCUUUUCUGCUAGAGACAACACAGGUCACUUCCUCUACACUUGUCAUGUGGCCUCACCUAACUUGGAGGCAGAUUGAAGGGGAGAUGCCGGAUGCCUACCAGGGAGAAGCAGGGAAGACUUCUCUGGUUUUAGCAGGGAUCUGAAUUGUGCAUGAGAGUUGACCAGGGAGGGAGUUUCCAUUGUGGCUCAGAGGGUUACUAACCCGACUAGUAUCCAUAAGGAUGUAGGUUUGAUCCCUAGCCUCAUUCAGUGGUU